ensembl:lncRNA
UUUAAGACAUCCUGAAGAGAGAAUCUUUUCAUGUUAAAUAACGGCAGAGAAGAAAACACGAAUCUGGUUAAGCACUAAAUAAACACUUAAAUUUGAUCGUUUUGAAACGUCGCGAUUUGAGUAAGAACAGCACUUCUGAUUAAUCAGCAUGUCUUCUGGUCUUCUCCUGGACGCUGUGGAGCAUCAAAACACUUGUUCACAGCCAAUGCACAAGGGUCACAGGGAGCUCGGGGCACAACGUGGGUCUGCCAACCCAUCUCAGGAGACAUUCACACACCCGUUCACACAUCACGGACAAUUUGGAAAUGCCGAUCAGCCUACAGUGCAUAUCUUUGGACUAGGGGAGGAAACCGGAGUGCCUGGAGGAGGCCCCGAAGCAUGGGGAGGGCACGCACACAGGACGGAGGCGGGACUCGAACCCCCAACCCUGGAGCUGCGAGGCAAACAUCACACCACCGUUAACCCCUCCUCCACCCAUACUAGUCUCAAAAGAGCUGCCCUACAGUUCAAACCCACCCUUUAUGGGAGAGUCUGCAGGAGGAAAGCUGUGCUUGCUUUGUUCAGGAAGUGAAAAAAAAGAAAAGAAAAGAAAAA